rnacentral:tRNA from 1 species
UUAAUUGAAACCAAAUUAGAGGUGAAUUAUUGUUAAUAAUUUUAUUGAAAAAUUUUCCAAUUAAA